AAUUCAACUAUAAAUCUCAAAUCUCUUGUGGAAUUCCAAGAUCUUUGAAGAUUGUAGGUCAUAUUUGGAAUUAGGACUCAAAGUAAGGUGAAAGAUUGAUGAUUUGAGAUGGAAUUUCUUCAAGAUUGGUGCUGUUGGAAGUGAAAAUUCAAUUAAGUAACCCGGAAGGAGAGAACCGUUCAUAAGCCUCAAGUCGCUUGUGACUAUUUCUAACACUUCCAAGGUUCAAGAUCUAACCCGGGGGCAGCAUGAAUGGUCAAGAUGGCUUAGGAUGCUAAAAGAAUAGUUUUAGAUCAGUACUUUUGCUAUGUAAAUAUGUUAAACAUAUGAAUACUAUUUGGUUGUAAUGCAAUCUUUUGGGAAUUAUGUUAAAGCUCUAUACUUUGAUCUAUA